GGGCUGUGAUUCUGUGCUGAACUGGUCACACCGUCAGUCCAGCCGCUGCUCCUGCCUCCAGAGGUCCAUGCAUCCCGGCAGUGUCCUGAAGUUACCAAGACUGCAGGAUAUAUUGUCUGACAGACUGUAAAUGUGAGGAAGAGGAGCCUUCAUCAGCCAUCACCUCUGUGAGAUGAAAGGCCCCGAAAGCAGCCAGCCACCCUGCUGGACACUGCUCAGCUGUUAUAAGAAGUGUUUGACAGGAAUGGCAGUUCCCUGGCCCGGGCCUUCUGGUGAUGUGAUUGCUGGGGACAGCCCUUCAGCAGCUGUGCAUGUCAGAGGGCUUCAUGGGGGAUGCACUUUUCACCACUGGACCCAUCACAGCAGAGCAACCAAAAACCACAGUUUACAAGGCUCCCAGAUGAUGGGCUAACCUUUUCACCUUGGCCAGGACUGCAGCGUCACUCCCAGCAUGAACUGAAAACUCAUGCCCGCACUACACACUUCACAGCCUUCUCCUCUGUGCUGUCUUCCUCCACUUGCAUCUGAUUUGAAUCCUGCCUUAGAAGAAAGGGGAGGUCCCAGGGUGGUUUCCUUCAUCCAGGCCUUGAACACAAGAGCCUAUCAAACCCUCAGCUGAAGUUCAUCUUAUGGCAUAGUCAUGCUCCCAGCAUGGCAGAGCUACACCAGAAAAAACUAUAGUCUGUCCUCAGGGAAGAGAACAGAAUAGGAAACUUCCCCAGAGGUAAGAUGAAGGGAGCAGAUGACGAGUGAGGUUUAAUCUCCUGUGCUCUAUAUUUUUCAUAACAACUUGAAUUAUCUUCUGUUUAAAGAAGG